rnacentral:rRNA from 1 species
CAGCAGCCGCGGUAAUACGUAGGGUGCGAGCGUUAAUCGGAUUUACUGGGCGUAAAGCGUGCGCAGGCGGCCCGUUAAGACAGGUGUGAAAUCCCUGGGCUCAACCUAGGAAUUGCGCUUGUGACUGGCGGGCUCGAGUACGGUAGAGGGGGGUGGAAUUCCUGGUGUAGCAGUGAAAUGCGUAGAGAUCCGGAGGAACACCGAUGGCGAAGGCAGCCCCCUGGGCCUGUACUGACGCUCAUGCACGAAAGCGGGGGGAGCAAACAGGAUUAGAUACCCUGGUAGUCCACGCCCUAAACGAUGGGUACUAGCCGUUUGGUGCGCGAUAGCGCUGAGUGGCGAAGCUAACGCGUGAAGUACCCCGCCUGGGGAGUACGGCCGCAAGGUUGAAACUUAAAGGAAUUGGCGGG